rnacentral:rRNA from 1 species
GACGAACGCUGGCGGCGUGCUUAACACAUGCAAGUCGAGCGGUAAGGCCCUUUCGGGGGUACACGAGCGGCGAACGGGUGAGUAACACGUGAGUAAUCUGCCCUUCACUUCGGGAUAAGCACCGGAAACGGUGUCUAAUACUGGAUAUGAGCAUCCUGCGCAUGUGGGGUGUUGGAAAGUUUUUUCGGUGGGGAUGUGCUCGCGGCCUAUCAGCUUGUUGGUGAGGUAAUGGCUCACCAAGGCUUCGACGGGUAGCCGGCCUGAGAGGGUGACCGGUCACACUGGGACUGAGACACGGCCCAGACUCCUACGGGAGGCAGCAGUGGGGAAUAUUGGACAAUGGGCGGAAGCCUGAUCCAGCAACGCCGCGUGAGGGAUGACGGCC